rnacentral:lncRNA from 1 species
GCGUGGGGACAAUGACACAGGGGCUGUGGCCCCCUCCAGCACGGGGACACCUUGUCCUCGCCGCUGGGGGGGUGGGGGACGUGGGUUUGUGUCCCCCCCUACCCCCCGGUGGUUGGGGACGGUGACAGGGGUUUGUCACCCCCCCGGUGCGGGUUUGUCACCGCUGUUCUGGGGACAAUGACACCGGUUUGUCACCCGCUGGCACAGGUUUGUCCCCGCUGUUCUGGGGACAGUGACACCGGUUUGUCACCCCCUGGCACAGGUUUGUCACUGCUGUUUUGGGGA